ACGUGAUCUGAGUUCAGACCGGAGCAAUCCAGGUCAGUUUCUAUCUAUAAAGGGCUUUUUCUAGUACGAAAGGACCGAAAAAGCAUGGCCAAUGAUCUAUUAAGCCAUAUUAAUAAAUUAUGACCUCAACUUAAUUAUUAAAAAACCUUUUAUUUUUACUCAAGACAAGAGAA
rnacentral:rRNA from 1 species